rnacentral:lncRNA from 1 species
CAGAAUCUUGACUGUAAUAGGUUCGCAUUUUAAUGGCAAUCCUUGAAAACCUAAAAGCCUUAGAAACUAGAAGAAAUCAAUGUUUAAUGAUGGAACUUGAAACAUUAUGACAAAGGAGAAGGAGCUGAAAGGAAUUUUUAGACAUCACUGAGUGCAACCAAUUCAUCUUCUGCAUGAGCAAACAUAGAAGGAGAGAGAGAAAUGACA